CAUAAUGAAAUGCUCUGACUUCAGCUACUUGAAGAGGUUAUUAAUCGGCCUACCGUACGUAUAGUGUUACUAGAAAGAAGUGUGUCACGGUAUAAAGACCAGGUAAGGUUUGUGUACCGUACCCUAAUUUCAAAUGGCCAUAUCUCAGCAAGUUUCCAACCUAGAGAGACGGCAAUUGAGAAAGAGGUAGCGGAGUUAAAAAUGGUACUUGAUCAACAGCAGAAAGUUCAAAAUGAAGAAUCAGUCGAAUCCGCUCUCCGUCAGGUGAAAGAAUACGGUAGUCGAACAUUUGAUUUUAACCCAGACGUCUUUCUGCAGAAGCUAAUUACUUUGGAACAAAGAGCUACUGUGUGAACCAUCGUAAAUUUAAAACGGAUUUCUUCGAUUAUGAACAAACUACUUAACUUUCGUUAUUAUAAACUUACCUGUGUGUUUGAAAUCAACUCCCGUUAAAUAAAAUCCACUGCACAACUAAUUAUCCCAACGAAUAAACAAGCCAACAGUGAGGCUGAUGUCCCCCGCCGAAAUCCCCAAAUAAAUAGAUGACACAUAUUAAUUAAUCGCACAUCUAUUUUUUUCCAAAGUAUCAAGCAAUCAAACUGAUUAUCAACUAUACACUAAGUUUCAUCACUCUCUAUCAGAUAGAAUCAAAGUUAUCUUGUCCCAAAGCAGGAAAUUGCUUAUCGCUGCUUAGCUUUAGCUCGAUAUGUUAAUCAUUGAACUCAGUCAAGACGAACAUCUACAUCAAGUUUAAACAUUCUACCUCAAUUAGAAGAAGAGUUGUUAUGUUCCAAAGUCUUGACCAAUCAAAAUGCUUAUUG